rnacentral:rRNA from 1 species
CAAUAGCGUAUAUUAAAGUUGUUGCAGUUAAAAAGCUCGUAGUUGGAUUUCUGAAUCGAAUGUCCGGUCGGCUUACUAAGUAAGCUCGUACAGGUGAUAUUUGUUUCAUUUUUUGUGAGGAAAUUUAUCUGUCAUUAAGUUGAUGGGUUUACGGACUUGCAUCGUUUACUGUGAAAAAAUUAGAGUGUUUAAAGCAGGCGUUUGCCUUGAAUACAUUAGCAUGGAAUAAUAAGAUAUGACUUUGGUGGUCUAUUUUGUUGGUUUGCACACCAGAGUAAUGAUUAAUAGGGACGGUUGGGGGUAUUCAUAUUUCAGCGUCAGAGGUGAAAUUCUUAGAUCGCUGAAAGAUGAGCCUAGGCGAAAGCAUUUACCAAGGAUGUUUUCAUUAA